AAGAAGGUGACAGAGCGGUUAUGUGAUUGGCUUGAACCCAAUUGAUGGGGGUUCAACUCCCCCCUUUCUCG
rnacentral:tRNA from 1 species